rnacentral:rRNA from 1 species
UACGGAGGGUGCAAGCGUUGUUCGGAAUUACUGGGCGUAAAGAGCGUGUAGGCGGUCGAUUAAGUCAGGUGUGAAAGGCCUUGGCUCAACCAAGGAAGUGCUUCUGAAACUGAUCGACUUGAGUACGGGAGAGGAGAGUGGAAUUCCUGGUGUAGAGGUGAAAUUCGUAGAUAUAAGGAGGAACACCGGUGGCGAAGGCGACUCUCUGGACCGAUACUGAUGCUGAGACGCGAAAGCGUGGGGAGCAAACAGG